AGCGAACGCUGGCGGCAGGCCUAACACAUGCAAGUCGAACGAACCUUUCGGGGUUAGUGGCGGACGGGUGAGUACACGUGGGAACGUGCCUUUAGGUUCGGAAUAACUCAGGGAAACUUGUGCUAAUACCGAAUGUGCCCUUCGGGGGAAAGAUUAAUCGCCUUUAGAGCGGCCCGCGUCUGAUUAGCUAGUUGGUUGAGGUAAUGGCUCACCAAGGCGACGAUCAGUAGCUGGUCUGAGAGGAUGAUCAGCCACAUUGGGACUGAGACACGGCCCAAACUCCUACGGGAGGCAGCAGUGGGGAAUCUUGCGCAAUGGGCGAAAGCCUGACGCAGCCAUGCCGCGUGAAUGAUGAAGGUCUUAGGAUUGUAAAAUUCUUUCACCGGGGACGAUAAUGACGGUACCCGGAGAAGAAGCCCCGGCUAACUUCGUG
rnacentral:rRNA from 1 species